rnacentral:rRNA from 1 species
UACGUAGGGUGCAAGCGUUGUCCGGAAUUAUUGGGCGUAAAGGGCUCGUAGGCGGUUUGUCACGUCGGGAGUGAAAUCUUACAGCUUAACUGUGAACUUGCUUUCGAUACGGGCAGACUUGAGGCAUUCAGGGGAGAACGGAAUUCCUGGUGUAGCGGCGAAAUGCGCAGAUAUCAGGAGGAACACCGGUGGCGAAGGCGGUUCUCUGGGAAUGUACUGACGCUGAGGAGCGAAAGUGUGGGGAGCGAACAGG